CUCACUCAAAUUUCUAAACCUUGUUUCCUGCGAUCGCCUCUCCCUCUGGCUUGUCCUGGCUCAUCUCUCCCUCACCGCCUUAUAAGUCUCAGCCACUGCCACUCUGUAUCACUCAGUCUUUACCUCUCGUUCCUUAUCCCUUAGCCUCACGCCCUCGCCGUCGCCCUCGUCCCUCAGCCUCACGCCUCUUGCAUAUCGUUCGUCUGACUCUGCUCUCGUUCUCACCUCUUGCAUCUGUGAAAGUUGAUUCUGCUCUCCUUCUUACCUCUCGUCACUGACUCUGCUCUCCUUCUCGCCUCCCGUUUCUCAGUCUCGCAACCUCUCGCCUGUCGCAGCUCGUCUCGCUGCUUCUCGCAGUCUCGCCUCUCGCCUGUUGUCUCUGCCUCUCGCCGUUCAGUUUCGGCUGUUGUCUCUCCCGGUCUCUUCUCUCGCCUUUCCCCAGCUGCCUACGUCAAGUGCCACAAAAACUCGUCCGGGCUCAAUGAACAUUGUACAGCUGCCUCCGUCCCUGUCACCGCCAGCCUGUUAACAUCAAGGUGAAAGGAAAAGGGAAAGCCUCCAAGGUUAAGGGCCAGAACUUGUUAUUGUAAAGUCUCUAGUCUCCUUGAAGUGUAAUUGAAUGGAUAAUUUGCCUACUUAGGGAUUGAUUAUAACAUGUUCACUCUUUUGCCUUUUGCAUGUGACCUUUUGUUGUUAGACUUAAGCAUUUUAUUGUAUAAUCUUCAUGUUUUGGAGGAGGGCUUAACUUGUAAUGUAUUUUAAUGGUUAUUAUGAUAUGCAUAUAUAAUGUCAAUUAUGCAGGAUUAUAGUUUAUGCAUGUAGAGUGUGAAUGACAUUGGCUCAAGAGGGGAGACACUUGAUUGGUGCUUGUGGCAUUAAAAGUUUUCCUUGGCACCAAGCGUUCUAGGAUUCUCAUUUGACAUUGUAAUGGGUUAAACCUAAAACAUUAGAUGGAUCUUUUAAUUAUUUACAUAUGGAAGAUUUGAUCACCUUAAUCAGAGGUUUGAGCAGUUGAUUAGUUGCUGUUGAUGUUUAAAUUUAAUGUCGUCAUACAUGCACUACAAUCAAAGGUGCACCACAGCAAAUAGUUGCUUUAGCUGUGGUGGAUGUGCCAUUUUGGAGUUAUACGCAGCGGAUACAACCUUUCGUCGUAGUGAGGUGGUCCCUAUGUUACAUGCCGUAGUGAAUUGUGAAUAAGCUACGUUAUAUUUUUG